rnacentral:misc_RNA from 1 species
AACUUUCGGCAACGGAUCACUUGGCUCUCGCAUCGAUGAAGACCGAAGCGAAAUGCGAUAAGUAAUGUGAAUUGCAGAAUUCAGUGAAUCAUCGAAUCUUUGAACGCAUCUUGAGCUCCUUGGUAUCCCGAGGAGCAUGCCUGUUUGAGUGUCAUUGAACUUCUCUCAACUGCAUCAUUUUUGUUUGAUGUGGCUUGGAAUGUGGGGGUAUUUUUGCAGGCUUAGAUUGAAGUCGGCUCCCCUGAAAUGCAUUAGUGGUAUCUGAGCUGCUAUUUGGUGUGAUAAUAAUCUACGCCUUUGGUAUGCUGGGUCAGCACCGCUUAUAACAACAAAAAUUAUUUGACAAAUUUGACCUCAAAUCAGGUAGGACUACCCGCUGAACUUAAGCAUAUCAAUAAGCGGAGGCU